rnacentral:rRNA from 1 species
UACAGAGGGUGCGAGCGUUAAUCGGAAUUACUGGGCGUAAAGCGCACGUAGGCGGCUUUCUAAGUCAGGGGUGAAAUCCUGGAGCUCAACUCCAGAACUGCCUUUGAUACUGGAAAGCUUGAGUUCGGGAGAGGUGAGUGGAACUGCGAGUGUAGAGGUGAAAUUCGUAGAUAUUCGCAAGAACACCAGUGGCGAGGGCGGCUCACUGGCCCGAUACUGACGCUGAGGUGCGAAAGCGUGGGGAGCAAACAGG